rnacentral:rRNA from 1 species
GAGUAACACGUGGGUAACCUGCCCUCAAGCGGGGGAUAACAUCCGGAAACGGGUGCUAAUACCGCAUAGGUUCUUCUUCCACCUGGAAGAAGAAGGAAAGACGGCCUUUGUGCUGUCGCUUGAGGAUGGACCCGCGGCGUAUUAGCUAGUUGGUGGGGUAACUGCCCACCAAGGCAAUGAUACGUAGCCGACCUGAGAGGGUGAUCGGCCACAUUGGGACUGUGACACGGCCCAAACUCCUACGGGAGGCAGCAGUAGGGAAUCUUCCGCAAUGGACGAAAGUCUGACGGAGCAACGCCGCGUGAGUGAAGAAGGUUUUCGGAUCGUAAAACUCUGUUGUCGGGGAGGAACAAGUGGGAGCCUAACUACUCUCACCUUGACGGUACCCGACCAGAAAGCCACGGCUAACUACGUG